AUCCGCCAUGCCGCGUGUGUGAAGAAGGCCUUAUGGUUGUAAAGCACUUUAAGCGAGGAGGAGGCUCUUUUGGUUAAUACCCUGAAUGAGUGGACGUUACUCGCAAAAUAAGCACCGGCUAACUCUGUGCCAGCAGCCGCGGUAAUACAAAGGGUGCAAGCGUUAAUCGAAUUUACUGGGCGUAAAGCGCGCGUAGGCGGCCGAUUAAGUCGAAUGUGAAAUCCCCGAGCUUAACUUGGGAAUUGCAUUCAAUACUGGUUGGCUAAAGUGUGGGAAAGGAUGGUAAAAUUCCAGGUGUACCGGUGAAAUGCGUAAAGAUCUGGAGGAAUACCGAUGGCAAAGGCACCCAUCUGGCCUAACACUGACCCUGAGGUGCAAAAGCAUGGGGAGCAAACAGGAUUAAAUACCCUGGUAGUCCAUGCCGUAAACAAUGUCUACUAGCCGUUGGGGCCUUUGAGGCUUUAGUGGCGCACCUAACCCCAUAAGUAGACCGCCUGGGGAGUACGGUCGCAAGACUAAAACUCAAAUGAAUUGACGGGGGCCCGCACAAGCGGUGGAGCAUGUGGUUUAAUUCGAUGCAACGCGAAAAACCUUACCUGGCCUUGACAUAGUAAAAACUUUCCAGAGAUGGAUUGGUGCCUUCGGGAAUCUACAUACAGGUGCUGCAUGGCUUGUCGA
rnacentral:rRNA from 1 species